rnacentral:rRNA from 1 species
GAUGAACGCUGGCGGCGUGCCUAAUACAUGCAAGUCGAGCGAACAGACGAGGAGCUUGCUCCUCUGACGUUAGCGGCGGACGGGUGAGUAACACGUGGAUAACCUACCUAUAAGACUGGGAUAACUUCGGGAAACCGGAGCUACUACCGGAUAAUAUAUUGAACGGCAUGGUUCAAUAGUGAAAGACGGUUUUGCUGUCACUUAUAGAUGGACCCGCGCCGCAUUAGCUAGUUGGUAAGGGAACGGCCUACCAAGGCAACGAUGCGUAGCCGACCUGAGAGGUUGAUCGGCCACACUGGAACUGAGACACGGUCCAGACUCCUACGGGAGGCAGCAGUAGGGAAUCUUCCACAAUGGGCGAAAGCCUGACGCAGCCACGCCGCGUGAGUGAAGAAGGCCUUCGGAUUGUAAAGCCCUUUUAUUAGGAAAGAACAAAUGUGUAUUUAACUAUGCCCGUCUUGACGGUACCUAAUCAGAAAGCCACGGCUAACUACGU